AAGAAAAGUCCAUGGUCCAGUUCUUUAUACAAAUGCGGGAUUCGUCUGCAAUUAUAGAAAUGAAGUAAAGGUGACCAAGAAGUUAGUAAAGUGCACAGCAGAGUUCUACUUCUUCAUUUGAGUCAGUUAACCUGUGUCUUCCUCCACCUCUCUCAAGAUUCAGUGAUCAGAGGCCUCCACAGGGUGGAGAAGCCUUGAAUGGCGCCCGCGAUUGGAGAAUCUACUUGAUGCCAGAUUCAAGGCAAAGAAUUGUCAGAAGAUAACUGAUGUGUUGAAGAGGCAUCUUCCCUUCUCUGGCCAAGGGGGGUUACUUGAACGGCAGAGAAUUGCUACAAGGUUCGAGGAUAAGUUGUAUGCUACUGCAUCAAGCCAGUCGGAUUAUCUACAAAAAAUUUCUCUGAAGUUGCUUGCCAUUGAGACCGCGGGAGUUGCAACAAGUCCCCCCUCCAACCUGAAACGGCAUCGUGCCCUUGCUUUUGAAAGAGACUAAUGCUAGUUCUGUAACUUGUCCUAUUUGAAGUUGAUAAUAUUUACUGUUCUUGUGAAAUAAGAAGAAAACUCGGAGCUUCUGAAACUGGAGUGAUUAUUGUAUAAUAGCACAAAACAAUUCCGUAGCGGUUUGUAAUAUCUCUGAAUAUUGAAGUACUUUAGAGCUACAUGCAAACACGUACUUGUAUCCUUAUAGAUAUAAACUCCGAUUGUUCAUAUUA